rnacentral:rRNA from 1 species
GAUUCCCCUAGUAACGGCGAGUGAAGAGGGAAAAGCCCAGCACCGAAGCCUGCGGCAGUUUUGCUGUUAGGCAAUGUGGUGUUUAGGCCGGCUCGUGGGACUGUCACUCCACUCGAAGUCCAGCAUUGAGUAUGGUUACCUGAUAUGGCCCAGAGAGGGUGAAAGGCCCGUUCGAGUGGAUGUUGCAGAAAUGUAAGACAGUUCAUCAGGCCGACCUUCGAGUCGGGUUGUUUGAGAAUGCAGCCCAAAGUGGGUGGUAAACUCCAUCCAAGGCUAAAUACUAGCACGAGUCCGAUAGCGAACAAGUACCGUGAGGGAAAGUUGAAAAGUACUCUGAAGAGAGAGUAAACAGUACGUGAAGCCGUAUAGAGGUAAACGGGUGGCGUCAAGCUGCAAGCCUGGAGGAUUCAGUUGGUCAUCGUGUUGUGUACACGCCUUGGUGUGUCAGCCGGUAAUAGCUUGGGUAGUCCGCUGGGAAACGGCGGGCCCGGCCGCAAGGUUGGGAUGUAUGUACCACACGGUUGGUGGUGUACGCUACUUGACUACAGGGCUGGAUGGCCAAUGCACUUCCUCCAUCAAGGUGAACACCACGACCAGUGGUACUGCCAGUCUGGCGUAGUCGAGUUGUAUCUGGUGCGGCAUUCGUGUCAACCGGGUGCAAUCACGGGCAUUCUUAGUGACCGGUGGGUUCGCGCCCAUGUUAACGAUCACUGCUUGUCAACGGGUCUGUCUGUCGGUGCUUGCAGUGUCCGAUGGGUGGCCUGGUGGACUGCGUUGGUAUGAAAAACUGUGCAGGGCACUGGAGUUAACGGCCUCAUAUCUGGUUUGGCGCGCACACUGCAAGUGCCGCGUGGUGGCGUUGAUGCGACCUGUCGUUGGCUGGGUCUGAUUGUCGUGUUGCCUGCACAAAGUGGGUCCGGCAGUGGCCUGGUUACGGUCGGUGUUGUGUUCAGCGUUAUCCGUGUGUCAGCUGGUGUUGGCCUUAGAGUCUGUGGUGUAGUGGUAGACGAGCUACCCGACCCGUCUUGAAACACGGACCAAGGAGUUUAACAUGCACGCAAGUCAAUGGGGACUUACGAAACCCAAAGGCGAAAUGAAAGUGAAGUCUCGACUUGUUCUCGAGGCGAGGUGAGAUCCUGCUGUUACUCGCACUGCUUUGUUGUUGGCUCAAGGCAAAGAGCGGUAGGCGCAUCACCGGCCCGUCCCAUGAUGUGGCCAUUGGUUGGUUGCAGUCGUGACUCGGCCUCCCGGUUGGGUUGUGGCUGUAGCUCCAGUGCGUCAUCGGGGCGGUGCAUGAGCGUGCAUGUUGAGACCCGAAAGAUGGUGAACUAUGCAC